ACAAGUGAUUACAUGAAAAGAUAUAGAAGAUAAGCACAUGGUUUUCCACCUUCCCUUUCCUCAUGGGAGAAGAUGUGGGGAAUGCCAUUUUGUAAAUAUGGUAUCCAUUUGGUUUGAGUAGUGUUCCCUAUAUCCCGAGGGCGAUAUUAAUAUUGCUUUUAUUGUUUGCAUCUAACCGCCACUGCCUGGAAAUGAAAUGGAAAAAGGGAAGAGAAAGAAAAGAUGAUGGAAAAAUCCAGCUUGGUGCUAUACAAGAAUGUAAUUUGCCUUAGAAGGGUAUCUUAAAGAGUAAUUGUUGUUUUUGUACUGUAAAAGAAGGUAAUUUGGAUA
rnacentral:misc_RNA from 1 species